rnacentral:rRNA from 1 species
AGGGAAACCGAGUCUUAACUGGGCGUUAAGUUGCAGGGUAUAGACCCGAAACCCGGUGAUCUAGCCAUGGGCAGGUUGAAGGUUGGGUAACACUAACUGGAGGACCGAACCGACUAAUGUUGAAAAAUUAGCGGAUGACUUGUGGCUGGGGGUGAAAGGCCAAUCAAACCGGGAGAUAGCUGGUUCUCCCCGAAAGCUAUUUAGGUAGCGCCUCGUGAACUCAUCUUCGGGGGUAGAGCACUGUUUCGGCUAGGGGGUCAUCCCGACUUACCAACCCGAUGCAAACUGCGAAUACCGAAGAAUGUUAUCACGGGAGACACACGGCGGGUGCUAACGUCCGUCGUGAAGAGGGAAACAACCCAGACCGCCAGCUAAGGUCCCAAAGUCACAGUUAAGUGGGAAACGAUGUGGGAAGGCUCAGACAGCCAGGAUGUUGGCUUAGAAGCAGCCAUCAUUUAAAGAAAGCGUAAUAGCUCACUGGUCGAGUCGGCCUGCGCGGAAGAUGUAACGGGGCUAAACUGUGCACCGAAGCUGCGGCAGCGACGCUUAUGCGUUGUUGGGUAGGGGAGCGUUCUGUAAGCCUGCGAAGGUGUCCUGUGAGGGAUGCUGGAGGUAUCAGAAGUGCGAAUGCUGACAUAAGUAACGAUAAUGCGGGUGAAAAGCCCGCUCGCCGGAAGACCAAGGGUUCCUGUCCAACGUUAAUCGGGGCAGGGUGAGUCGACCCCUAAGGCGAGGCCGAAAGGCGUAGUCGAUGGGAAACGGGUUAAUAUUCCCGUACUUGGUGUUACUGCGAAGGGGGGACGGAGAAGGCUAUGUUGGCCGGGCGACGGUUGUCCCGGUUUAAGCGUGUAGGUGUGUGUUCCAGGUAAAUCCGGUUCACUUUAACACUGAGGCGUGAUGACGAGGCACUACGGUGCUGAAGCAACAAAUGCCCUGCUUCCAGGAAAAGCCUCUAAGCAUCAGGUAACAUCAAAUCGUACCCCAAACCGACACAGGUGGUCAGGUAGAGAAUACCAAGGCGCUUGAGAGAACUCGGGUGAAGGAACUAGGCAAAAUGGUGCCGUAACUUCGGGAGAAGGCACGCUGACACGUAGGUGAAGUGAUUUACUCAUGGAGCUGAAGUCAGUCGAAGAUACCAGCUGGCUGCAACUGUUUAUUAAAAACACAGCACUGUGCAAACACGAAAGUGGACGUAUACGGUGUGACGCCUGCCCGGUGCCGGAAGGUUAAUUGAUGGGGUCAGCGCAAGCGAAGCUCCUGAUCGAAGCCCCGGUAAACGGCGGCCGUA